CAGAAGAAUGAACCGUGGUGAAACAUGGCAAAUCAGUGCAGCCCCUGGAACCACACAAGCCCGCAUUUGGGCUCGAACCAACUGCCAGUUCGAUGCUUCCGGGAACGGCAAGUGUGAGACAGGUGAUUGUGGCGGUCUCUUGGAAUGCAAGGGCUAUGGUUCAGCCCCUAACACACUAGCUGAAUAUGCGAUAGGUCAAUUCGCUAACCAAGACUUUAUUGAUAUCUCUAACAUUGAUGGCUUUAACGUUCCUAUGGAGUUCAGCUCAAACUCUCCAGGGUGCACAAGAGUUAUCAGGUGUACAGCAGACAUUGUCGGGCAGUGUCCGAAUGAGUUGAAGGUUCCUGGAGGAUGUAACGGGCCUUGUCCAGUGUUCAAGACUGAGGAGCACUGCUGCAAUUCUGGUAACUGUAGCCCUACAAACUUCUCCAGGUUUUUCAAGGAAAGGUGCCCAGAUGCUUACAGUUACCCCAAGGAUGACCCCACGAGCUUGUUUACUUGCCCCACUGGUACUAACUACAAGGUUAUAUUCUGCCCCUGAAGGGUUGGAAUGGUUUUAAAUCGUCUACACACAAAAUAUAUAGCUUAUCCGGUAUCAAUAGCAAUAUGUGGAAUAAAGGCAUAUGAAUGCCAUUUGAGCACAUUCCUUGAUGUGCAAAUGUUCUCACUUGUAAUAAAUAUUUAUCUGAUCAUAAAUUAAUGAAAAUUGGGGAUUUCCUUUUUCUUUUUCUUUUUGAGUUUUGGAUCAAUUCAAUAUUUUAUGAAAGGAUUUUCCCUUGAUUUUGAUUUUAUGUUCUUCUGUCUUUGUUUUUUUUUCUUUUAGAAUUCUAUUUUAUAACCUGGAUUCCUUAUUGUGCUUGUCAUUACACAUUACCUUAAUUUUCUAUCAUCAUUUUAUUUUAAUUAAUUCUUUUCUAAAUUAUCUUUGCUUUUUUCAUUUUUUAUUUAUAAACAAAUGAAAACUUUUAUAUUGUAAAAUUUUUUAAUUACAAUCUCUUUUGUAAAUAAUAAUAAUAAUGUAAUCUGCACUCGGCCCAAAAAAAAAAAUGUUUAUCUAAUCUAAUCUGCUCAUUCAAUAAAUACACAAUUAAUUUCUGGGCUGAAGCCUCAUCAGAUAUUGUCUAGUGUCUAUCUGUCUACUGACUCGACCUAGUUCGCCUAUAGCAGAAAACCGUGGCACCAGGCUCAGCCAGGGCUUGCAUCUGGGCCUUACUAAUUGCAUCUUGGGUGUCAAUGGACUGCAAGAGGUGGUCCUUGAAACCCAAAAAAGUAAAGCGUUUAACCAAAAUUAUCUUCGACUUUUUAUUAAUAAAUUUGGUUUCUUAAAAUUUACCAUAUAUGUAUGAAGCACUUUAUCUUUUUAAGGCAUUAUAAACGCCAUUUCAUGAUAUUAAUUUUUCUUAUAAACCAAUUUCCCCACCAUAUACCAAAUAAUUUGAUAUAUGUAUCAGAAAUGGAAAGUUGUUGAAGUUUGAUAAAUCAAGAAAUUAAGGAUAGCAAACCUAAUAAGCUUGAAAUAAAAAUAUUUGAAAGAUCAUCAAAGACAAAAAUAUACCUUUCUCUUUGCAAGCAAAAAUUGUACGGAAAAUUUGGGUUGAUUCAACCGGGCUCGAACACGGAUAGCAUGUCCAGGUAACCAUUAGUGUAGUAUGUGGCUACAACUAAACAAGACCUUUUUUUUUUAUAUAGUUUUAAUUUAUUCUUAAAUUUUUUGUCCAACUAUUUACUUAAUUGAAAAAAAAUUACUCCUAUAAAUUAUUUUAAAUUUAUAAUCUUUAAAUGUAAAUUUCAAUAAUAUAUCAACCGAUUCUAAAUCAAUUGACAACAAUUAGGAUUUCAAAUCCUAAGAAAGUUACAUAAUUUAUGUAAGAAUAUUUAGUCAACAAUUACGAGAUCAAUAGAUAUUGUUAAAAGUUAUAAAAUCUAUUGAUAAAAUAUUAAAUUUUUAGUAAUUAUAAUUUAAUUUUUAAUAAUUUAAGUAUAAAAAAAAAUAAAGAAUAUCGUUAUCAUUACAUAAUUUAUUUACACUUAAAAUCUUUAUCAAUGUUCAGGUUGGUUGGAAUAUCUUUAUCAUUAGACUAGGCCUAUUUCAUCAAUCAUUAUUUUAUUUCAUUCAAAAAAUAUUUCAAAAAUAAAAAUGAUUUUUGAAUGAAAAAUUUAAAACACAAUUGCGAAGUUAAUUACAGGGUUGUAUUUUGCCGCAGAGGCUCUCCUCAUCUGGAGAUGGUUGGAAGCAAGAGCCAAGAGUAAUGGUCUCUCCCCUCUCGGAGUUAAUUGCAGUGCCUCGGCGCUUGGAAAUAAAAAUAAAGUUUUUUGAUAAUGAAUAUGUUGUCGUGUUUGUAUUUCUUUUGUUUCCCGAUCGUGUUUUAUUUGAUGCGACGGUGAAAAGAAAUAAAGAUAUCCUUGUUUGAUUCACUCUAUUGAACUAAAAAUUUGGUUUUUCAGCCACACAAAACAAUUGGCAAUCAACCUCAAAGUUGAGUAGAGAUAAGGGGUGAGGUAGAUUUAUGAAGAGUCUAUCCAUGUAUAGUAAUAUCAACGUCUUUUUAAUAUAAUUAAUUUAGGGAAAUUGAUAUCUUAUAAUUUUCUUGAAUGCAUUUAUGAUAGCAGGUAUUUAUUUAAUAAACAAUGCUCUCAUUGCCGGUCAUUUCUCUUUAGCCCUUGGAAGAAAAUUCAGUGGAAUUAAGUCCAAAAUUUCUUAAUUAAAGCAUGCUGGCUUAAAUUUCCUUCAUUGCCAAGUGUAAAAACUUUUUUCUAUUUUGGUGAAAAAGAUUCGAAGGUAGAUAAGUUUUAAGUUUACAACUUAAAACUUGGGAUUAAACCUUUCAACUUCAAUAGUCACUUUCCCUCUUGCAAGUUGCAAGUAAUUGUUCAUUUGGCUAGCUAUAAGUGGACUCUCUGGACUAUGGACAGCGUGCGCUUGACUGUCUAAAGUCGGCAAAAGUAGACAACAAAAGAUAAAAAUAACGAAAAUUUUUUUAAAAAAAUAAAGUAAAAAUGACAUCCCAAUAUAAUUUUUACAAAUAAAUCAAAAUAAAUUGUAGUGAAAAAGAUUAGUCGAUUUCUUAUGGAAAAUAGUUUGUUUGAUGCAUGUGAGAGUUCAUAAGAUUUUGUUGUACUUUUCUCCAGAUUUUCAGUUACGCUGGAGACUGAAAAGCUGUGAAAAAUGUUGCUGACACCUCAAUUAACGUGACAGAACGAUAUUUAAAGCAGUCAAUGCGGAGGAUUUUAGACAAUAAGAUUAAAGUUGUUGACCUUAAUUGAAUAAUAAUAAUUAGAUAUAAAAAAUUAAUAUAAAUCAUUAAUUUUUUAAUUAUAAAAAUACUUAAUUAUCUGUUAACCUAUUAAUCUAAUUUUAAUUAAUUACAUUAAAUAUUAUUCAUUAAAUAAAAUUAAAAAAUAUUUAAUAAAUAAAUACAAUUUGUUUAAAAUUCUUAAAAAAAAAGACAAGAUAAUAUAAUAUUUAAAAAAUUUUAAUUGAAAAUUGGUUAAUAUAAAAAGGUGAGAAUUAUCAUAAAAUUAAUAUUAUUUAGUAAAAAAUAUGUUAGAAGUAUCGUAAUACUUUAAGAGAUAUUUGUAAUAAUUUUAAACAUAAUGAAAGUAAAAUCAAAUGCAAAAAAAUAUAUAUUAUUGGAAUGUAAAUAAUUAAGUUAACAAUGUAAAAAAAUUAUUAUCUUAAAUCCAAAAAUUAAUUCUAAAACAAUAAAUAAGUGUUAACAUAAAAAUAUAAGAAUAAUCAUAAAAUUAAUAUCAUUUAACGUAAAAUAAGUUAAAAGUAUCAUAACACCCUAACAAAGAGUUGUAAUAAUUAUAAACGUAAUAAAAAGUAAUAACAAGUAUAAAAAGAUAUUAUUGUAACAAAAAUAAUUAAAUUGGUAAUAUAAAAGAAAUAUUAUUACAAAUAAAAAAAUAAUUUUAAACCAAAAUAUAAAAGUUAAUAUAAAAAAGUAAGAAUAAUCAUAAAAUUAGUAUUAUUUGACAUAAAAUAGUUACAAGUAUUGUUAUACCUUAAUAAAACAUUGUGAUAAUUCUAAAUGUAAUGAAAAGUAAUAAGUGUAAAAAAUAUUAUAAAAACAUAAAUAAUUAAUUUAAUAAUAUAAAAAAAUUAGUAUUAUUAAUAAAAAUAAUAAUCUUACACCAAAAAAUAUGUGUUAACGUAAAAAGAUAAAAAUAAUCAUAAAAUUGAUAUUUUUUAUGUAAAAUGGUUAGACGUGUCGUAAUACCUUUAAAAAAAAGUUAUGAUAAACUUAAACAUAAUAAAAGAUAACAAUAAGCGUAAAAAUAUAUUAUUAUAAUGUAAAUAAUUAAGUUAACAACAUAAAAAAUUAUAAACAAAAAAAUGUUUUAAUGUAAAAAAGUAAGAGGAAUUAUAAAAUUAGAAUCAUUUGUCGUAAAAAUAUGUUAAAAGUGUUGUAAUGUAAAAAAAUAAGAAUAAUUAUAAAAUUAGUGUCACUUAGCAUAAAUUGGAUUAGAAUUCUCGUAACAUAUUGACAAAAAGUUAUAAUAAAUUUAAACGUAAUAAAAAAUAAGAACAAGUGUAAAACAUAUGUUGUUAUAACAUAAAUAAUAUUUUUGACAAAGUAAAAGAAUUAUUAUUACAAAUAAUUAAUAAUUCUAAACCAAAAAAAUAAGUGUUAGUAUAAAAAAAAGGUGAAAGUAAUCAUAAAAUUAGUAUUAUUUGACGUAAAAUGGUUAAAAGAAUUAUAACACCUUUAAGAAAAAAGUUAUAAUAUUUUUAAACAUAAUAAAGGGUAACAACAAGUGUAAAAAGAUAUUAUUAUAAUAUAAAUAAUUAAAUUAGCAACAUAAAAGAACUAUUAUUACAAAUAAGAAAUAAUUUUAAGUAAAAAAUUAAGAGUUAAUAUAAAACGGUGAGAAUUAUCGUAAAAUUGAUAUUAUUUAACAUAAAAUAGUUAGAAAUAUCGUUACACUUUUAAAAAAAAUUGUAAUAAUUCUAAACAUAAUGAAAAGUAACAACAAAUGUAAAAAGUUAUUAUUGAAAUGUAAUAAAUUAGUAGCAUAAAAAAUUGGUAUUAUAAAUAAAAAAUAAUAAUUCAAUCAAAAAAUAAGUGUUAAUGUAAAAAUAUGAGAAUAAUUAUAAAAUUGGUAUCAUUUAACGUAAAAAUAUUAGAUGUGUCAAAAUGCCUACAAAAAACUUGUGAUUAUUCUAAAUAUAACUAAAGGUAAAAAUAAAUGUAAAAGAUUUUAUUGUAACAUAAAUAUAAGUUAACAAUAUAAAAAAAUUAUUUUUAUACAUGAAAGUAAUUCUAAACAAAAAAAUGCAUAUUAGCGUAAAAUGUAAGAAUAAUUAAAAAAUUAAAAUUAUUUGGUGUAAAAUAUGUUACAAUAUCGUAACAUGAAAUGAUAAGAAUUGUUGUUAAAUUGGUGUCAUUUAAUGUAAAUUGGAUUAGAAGUGUCAUAAUACCUUAACAAAAAGUUGUAAUAAUUUUAAACAUAAUAAAAAGUAAGAAUAAGUAUAAAAAAAAAUAUUAUUGUAACAUAAAUAAUUUUUUUUUGCAAUAUAAAAAAUUUAUUAUUACAAAUAAAUAAUAAUUCUAAACCAAAAAAUAAGUGUUAAUAUAAAAAAAAAAAGUGAAAGCAAUUGUAAAAUUGAUUUCAUUUGGCAUAAAAUAAUUAAAAGUAUCGUAACACCUUUAAAAAAAAAUUAUGAUAUUCUUAAACGUCAUGAAAAAUAACAAUAAGAGUAAAAAAUAUAUUAUUAUAACAUAAAUAAUUAAGUUGAUAAAUAUAAAAAAAUUAUUAUUGUAAAUAAAAAAUAAUUUUUAAAAAAUAAGAGUUAACAUAAAAUGGUGAGAAUAAUCAUAAAAUCGAUAUUAUUUUGUAUAAAAUACUUUGAAGUAUCGUUACACCAUAACAAAAAAAUUAUAAUAAUUUUAAACAUAAUAAAAAAUAACAAAAAACAUAAAAAGAUAUUAUUGAAACUUAAUAAAUUUGUAACGUAAAAAAAUUAGUAUUAUAAAUAAAAAUAAUUCUAAAUAAAAAAUUAAGUGUUAAAGUAAAAAAAUAAAAAUGAUUGUUAAAUUGGUAUAAUUUGGGGGAAAAUAUGUUUAAAGUGUUGUAAUACUUAAGAAAAAAUUAUGAUAAUUCUAACUAUAAUAAAGUACAAGCGUUAUAGAUUUUAUUGUAACGUAAAUAAUUAAAUUGACAAUAUAAAAUAUUAUUAUAAAUAAAAAAUAAUUUUAAACCUAAAAAUAAGUGCUAACGUAAAAAUGUAAGAAUAAUCGUAAAAUUGAUAUAAUUUCACAUAAAAUGUAUUAAAAGUAUUGUAAUGUAAAAAAAUGAGAAUAGUCAUAAAAUUAGUAUCUAUAAACUAAGUUAGAACUAUUAUAACACCUUAAGAAAGAGUUGUGAUAAUUCUAAAUGUAAUGAAAUACAUGAAUAAGUAUAAAAAAAUUUAUUUUAACAUAAAUAAUUAAGUUGACAACAUAAAAAAUUAUUAUUAUAAAUAAAAAAUAAUUCAACAAAAAAUAAUUGUUUACAUAAAAAUGUGAGAAUAGUUAUAAAAUUUGUAUCAUUUAGCAUAAAGUAUAUUAGAAAUGUUGUAAACCAAUAGAAAAAAGUUAUGAUAAUUCUAAACGUAAUAUAAGAUAAGAACAAAUGUAAAAACAUAUUAUUAUAACAUAAAUAAUUAAAUUGGUAACGUAAAAAAUUAUUAUUAUAAAUAAAAAGAAAUUCAAAACCAAAAAACAGAUGUUAACGUAAAAAAGUAAAAAUAAUCAUAAAAUUGAUAUUAUUUGACGUCAUAAUACCUUUAGAAAGAGUUAUAAUAAUUUUAAACAAAACAAAAAGUAAAAACAAGUAUAACAAGAAAUUAAAGUAAAUAAUUAACUUAACAAUCUAAAAGAAUUGAUAUUUUUAAAUUAAAAGUUUCUAAAUAAAAAAAUUGUUAACGUAAAAAAAUUAAAAUAAUCAUAAAAUUCAUAUCAUUAGAUGUAAAAUGAGUUCGAAAUGAUUUAUACUCAAAAAAUAUUUUAAUAAUUCUAAAUGUAAUGAUAAAAAAGUAUAAAAAUAUAUUAUUUAACGAAAAUAAUUAAAUUAAAAUAAAUUGAUAUUAUAAAAUUAAAAAAUAUAUAGUUUUUUAUUUGUUAAAUUAAUAAAUUAAAUAAAAUUAUGUAUAUUUUUUAAUGUUUACCUGUUAACUUUUUUUUUUAAGUUAUAUUAUUCUUAUAAUUUAUUAUGAUAUAUCAUAAUAAUAUUUUAUUAGGAAUUAUUCAAGGUAUUUUCUUGCGUAUUAUGCCCUUAAUAAUCCAUAGAAAAUAUAUGAAAUGGAUUCUUAAAGGCGUUUUUAGGUGAAAGGCCUUCAAUAAUCCAAUAAAUAAGUUUUUAAUAGAAAUUAUUGAAAGUGAUUUUUUUCAAAAAUACCUUCAAUAAUCUACACACAAUAUUUGGUACGGAUUCUUGAAGGUAUUUUUUUUCUCAAAACGCCUUUAAUAUUUCACACAAUAUAUUUUUAAGUGGGAUUAUUGAAUGUGAUUUUGGUUAAAAAUGCCUUCAAUAACAUGUUGUUAUGAUGAUUCAAUGCGUUUUUCUUGUUAAAAAUACAUUCAUUAAUCGUAUUAAAAAAAUAUUUUUGAUAUUGUAUAUGUCAAGUUAGUUGUAGGUUUAUGCCUAAAAAAUAUUUGAUUUAUAUAUGUGAUACUACAAAUUACAUUUUGAAAUUUACAUAAUGAACAUUGUUGUAUUUCAAUAAAUUGACCACAUAUCCGAAAUUAAAACUGAUAACGUUGCCAUAUUAAUAUACUUUUCUAAAAUAAUCGUACUCAAUAAUAUAUUAAGUACACAUAGUGUAUUCAUAUUAAGUAUAUCAAUAAUAUUAAACCAAUUCCCUAAUGUACAAACUUAAAGUUUCCAUUCAACAUGGCAUGUUAAACACAUUAUAACAAUUUGUUCCUCAUAUUUACAUUUAACCAACAAUGUCUAACCUCAAGGUUUAUCAACAUUGAUAAAUGAUAAUACAUACUCACACCAUUCUUUACAGACUUCAUCCAGCUCCUCUUCCAUGAAGCUUUCUUUACUCUCCUACUAAAAAAAAAUCAUAAGUAAAUGUUAAUAAAUGAGAACAUAAUGAACCGUUUUAUUUUUAUGAAGAUAUAAUGAGUUUAUGAAAUUUAUACUAACCUUAAAGGUGUGGUCAUAAAAUCAUUUAAUACUAUCUCACGCAUAAAAUGAAGGAAUAAUAUCCACAUUCAGUAUUACCGAGUUAUGAGGUACCUGAAAAUUAAAUUGAAUGGGUUUAAGAAACAUUUAUCUACACAAACUUAGUAUAAAAGAAUAAAUUUGACAUUUAUCGAUAAUGACACCCAUUUCGAUUUCUUUUUCUUCUUAUCAAAUGCAAAUAUUACCCUAAAUUGAAAAGAAAUAAUUUACUUAAUACAUAAAUAAAAUUACUUAUGAAGAAAUAUAAGAUAUAUAAUAUAAUAAAGUGUAAUACCUCUUUAUAAAAGUUUGAAUAUCAAGGUUAGGCACCGUCGUUGGAUUAACUGAAUUAAGUAAAUAUGAUGUUAAGGAUUUGGUGUCAAUGAAAAUAAGCACUCAAUGAUGACUGUAAAAUAAUAACAAUGAUUUUACACAUCAAAUUAGAUUUGGGUAAUGUUGCAAUAAUUAAGGUUGAAAUAUAACUUACUGCGCAUUAUAAAUGAGCAAAUAAUAAUCAACCGAUCUUUUCAUGUAUUCAAUCACAUGAUUAGCACGAUAAGCAACUGUGCUACUUCGCUCACUAAUGAAGUUGGGAUCAACGAAUCUAAAUCUGUUGGUCAACUCUUUCCCCUUGAGCUCUCUAUAUAGGAAGCUGCAUGACAACAAUCAAUACUACUAGUUAGUAUUACACCCUAAUAUAGAUUAAUACAUAUUGAAUGUGCAUAUUUGUAUUUAUAAGCUAACCUUAUAUAAGCAACAAUAUCAACAGCUGAUAAUUCAUCCAGUUCAUCAAAUUCUUUAACCUCCUUCGGACCAAUGAAAAAAAAUGAUGGUUUAUCAAAUAAUCUUUUCUCAGAUUCAAUGGUUAUGAAGUUUCCUCCGGAUAAAUGCUCCAAUGAAUAUUUGGAUAACUCAUCCAUAGUAGCCUGAGCAAGGGUCAUACCGUAAGUUUCAACAUCCUACUACAAUAUUUAAUGAAAUAUAAGUAUUAAAACCAAAUUAAUAAAUAUAAUAAAUAAAUUAAUAUUAAAAUUAUAAACAAAAUCAUACUUCUUGGGUGGUAGCGGAAGAUAGGUUCGUUUCCUUACUUACAACGGAAGCUUGUCCUACGUGAAUGAUGCUACCAGACUGGCCUACUGGAAUAUUAUGUUGCAUUGCUGCCAACAUAGACUCCAAAGCAACGAGUCUUUGUUGUUGCUUUUUGAGGCAUUGCUCAUGGUCAUCAAUUUGUUACUGUUAUUGCUCAAUGAUUACUUCAUAUUGUGUAUUUCUCAUUCGUGAGGUUUUACGUUGAUUACUAAAAAAUUUUGAUGGCAAGACAAAUUUACCAACCCCUCGAACGUGACCAGGCCUGUCUUUAGCACUUAAUGCUAAAGACAAAAGAUCUUUGUCAUACUAGAUUAUCAGUUCACUAGAUUUGACUUUGGUAGCAUAAUCAUCUUGAAAGACAAUAAUAAGAUGGACUGUAACAACAAAUCUAUAUAAGCUAGUAUACAGUCAUACAUACAACCACAAUGCCAAUCAUACAUUAUAUUAAAAAAAGUAGUUAUACAUAUAAUUUUUUUUGCCAUUUCUUCGAUUGCUUCAUCUGUAAAUGAUCUAUCAUUCCAUAGAUGUCUUUGUUUCUAGACAUCUCAUCUGAAAACUUCGGUGCUAGAACUCGCUGAUUCUUAUUAAAUUACCGUAAUACAAGAAUCAGAAUGCAUGAAAUAAAUGUUCAUAAAUAUUUAUUAAUGAUGUUAAAACAAGUGUACGAAUACAUAUAAGCUCAUACUUCAUAUUUACAUAUCUCUUUCUCAUUGUCUGAUGAUGAUAUUAUUGUUUAGCCCGAAUGUUUUGUUGCUUUUCUUUGAUUUUCUACAAAAGAAAUAAAUUACAUCAAUCACAUAUGAAGAUCAAAGGCUAUAUUGCAUAAAGGCUUAUAAACAAUAUUUUUGGUAAUGGGUUUGCGUACUAAAAAAUCUUCUAAAAGUCGAUAUUGAACAAAAUUUAUCCAAUCUUCAACACUUAUCACAUCUUUAUAUGCCGUAAGUGGAGCAGCCAAUACAUCACCUUGAUCAACCAAAGGUAAAUAUAUUGGAUUGUCAAUCUGCUUUUAAAGUUUCUGAAUAUUUUUUCAGUAGAUUGCAACAUAAUCCUUUUACAGUCAAUUGAGAUGUCAAACGUUUCCUAAAUUAUUUAACACAAUUAGUAAGAACACAUUGAAUUUCAAUUAAAUGAUCAUUUAACAAAUUUUAUGAAAUAGUUGAAUAAACAUACCACAAUUGACUGCCAUAUAUCAUCUUUUAGAUCAUCAAAAACUCAUCGUCAAUCGGUGUACGUAAUUGAAAUUCUACGACGGACGAUGGCUCCAAUAUGAGUAACCAACUUGGCAACUUCUUCAGACACAGGCCGUUCACUUUGAUUGAAAUCAACAUGAAUUUUUGUGUCACUCACUUUAAUUUAUUUAUUUGGGCCCCUUCUUUUUUUUUUUUUGGGCUACAGGUGUGUCUUUUACAUGUUUAAUAGAAGGAGAAUGAUGUUGUUCAAAUACUAUAAUACCUUCGAUUUUGAUCAUAAUUAUAUGAAUUACACAAAAUGACUAUAUAAAUUUAACACUGUACGUAAUUAAAUGCAACCAAUACCAUACUAUGUAUAAAAACAUCAUUCAACAAACAAAUCAACAAUGUGCUUAGACACAUCUUUCAGCAAACCACUCAGAAAUACCAUUCAUCAAAACAUUCAAAAAUACUAUUUAGCAAACUAUUCAACAUACGAUUUAGCAUACCAAUAUCAUACAAUACCAUUCAGCAAAACAAUAUCACAUAAUACCAUUCGACAAAAUAAUAUCACAUAACAAGGUUCAGCAAAUCACAUUAUUAAUAGAAAACUACAUAACAAUAACAUACAUAUAAUGAUAGGUGCUUGGACGACUAUGCUUAUGGUGAAAUGAAUAAAAAUAUAUAUCCAUAUGUAAAUAGUAAUGAACCAAAAAAAAAUAACUUUAUCAAAUAAUAUAAAUAAUAUAAUAAAAAAAUUACAAAGAUAUACUAGUUAACAGAAAGGUGAGCACUAGUGAUUUGUUGAAGGUCAAUUAUGACGAUAAGGAUAAAGAAAUCAAAAGUCUGAUAGAAAUGUGUUUAUGGGCUUGGUUUGGUUGAUUAAUGUAGCUUUUAAUUGUUUUCUGUACUAACAGCUUUUGAGUCCAAUGUCCAAGAUAGGGAAUGAAUAUAAAAUUUAUUAUUGAAGGUAUUUUUUACUAAAAGAUGCCUCUAGUAAUCUAAAAAAUAAUUUUCAAAGAAAAUUAUUAAAGGUAUUUUUCUUAAAAAAAAAAACCAAAAACGCCUUUGAUAAUUUUGAAAAAAAAAUUUGAAGGCAUUUUCAAUAAACAACCGCCUUCAAUAAUUAUGUACAAAAAUUAAAAAAAAUUAGGGAAGGCAUUUCUCUAGAAUAAACGCUUUCACUAACCAUCUCAAAAUUUGAGUUAUGGAAUGUUGAAGACGUUUUUCACUAGAAGACGCUUUUAAUAAUCUCAAAAAUUUUAAGAGAAACUUAUUGAAGGCAUUUGUUCUCAAGAAACGCCUUUAAUAAUUAUGUACUUAAAUUAGAAGCAAUUAUUGAAGGUGUUUUUCAAGAAUAAACACAUUCACUAACCAUCUCAAAAUUUGAGUUGUGAAAUAUUGAAGGCAUUUUUCACUGGAAGACGUCUUUAAUAAUCUCAAAAAUUUUAAGAAAAAAUUAUUGAAGGCGUUUGUUCUAAAAAACCACCUUCAAUAAUUAUGCACGUAAAUUAGUAAUCUAAAAAAUAAUUUUUAAAAGAAAUUAUUAAAGGUAUUUUUCCUCAAAAAAUGCCUUUGAUAAUUCUAAAAAAAAUUAUUCAAGGUAUUUUUCAGUAAACAACCACCUUCAAUAUUUACGUAUAAAAAUUAAAAAUAAUUAGUGAAGGUAUUUCGCUAGAAUAAACGCCUUCACUAACCGUCUCAAAAUUUGAGUUAUGAAAUAUUAAAUGCGUUUUUCACUGGAAGAAGCCUUUAAUAAUCUCAAAAAUUUUUAAAAAAAAUUAUUGAAGCUGUUUGUUCUCAAAAAAUACCUUUAAUAAUUAUGUACGUAAAUUAGAAGAAAUUAGUGAUGACGUUUUUCUCGAAUAAAUACCUUAUUUAACCGUCUCAAAAUUUAAGUUGUGAAAUAUUGAAGACAUUUUUCACUGAAAGAUGCCUUUAAUAAUCCCAAAAAUUUUAAGAAAAAAUUAUUGAAGGUGUUUGUUCUCAAAAAACGCUUUCAAUAAUUAUGCACAUAAAUUAGAAAGAAUUAGUGAAGAUAUUUUUCUAGAAUAAACGCCUUCACUAACCAUCUCAAAAUUUGAGUUAUAAAAUAUUGAAGGUAUUUUUCAUUGAAAGACGUCUUUAAUAAUCUCUAAAUUUUUUUAAAAAAAUUAUUAAAAGCGUUUGUUCUUAAAAAAUAUCUUCAAUAAUUAUGCAUGUAAAUUAGAAUGAAUGAGUGAAGGCAUUUUUCUACAAUAAGUACCUCCACUAACUGUCUCAAAAUUUGAGUUGUGAAAUAUUAAAGGCGUUUUUCAUUGAAAGACGCCUUUAAUAAUUCAAAAAAUUUUAAGAGAAAAUUAUUGAAGGCGUUUGUUUUCAAGAUAUGCCUUCACUAACCAUCCUAAAAUUGAGUAAUGGAACAUUGAAUAUAUUUUUCAGUAGAAGAAGCCUUCAAUAAAUUUCUUAAAAAAAAAAAUUAGUCAAGGCAUAUUUCUGGAAUAAACGCCUUCAAUGACCCCUUCAAAUUUUAGAAGUUUAAUAUUAAAGGCGUUUUGUACAGAAGAUGCCUUUAAUAAGCCAAACGAUUUUUUAAAAAAAAUUAUUGAAUGCAUUUUUGGUAAAAAAUUACCUUCACUGAUAUUCAAGGAUAAAAAGAAGAGAAUUAUUGAAGACGUAUUAUUGCAAAAAAAUACCUUCAAUAAAUACACCAAAAAAAUUAGAUGAAAUUUUUGAAGGCAUUUUUGGGGCGUAAACGCCUUUAAUAAUCCUAAACUAGUAUACUAUGACUUUGUUGAUGGCGCCUAUAAUAUAUUCAAAAAAUAUUUAGGAGAAAAUUAUUUAAGGCAUUUUUUUUAGUAAACGCCUUCAAUAAUCCUGUCCAAUAAAAUUGUCCUUAAACUUAACACAUCUAAUCACCAACUUGAAGCUUCAUCUUCAUUAUUUUACUAUUUAUCUUUCCAGACCAAUUACAAUUUAUUUUUCUUUUCCUUCAAUUUUUACUAUUUGAACAUUGUCUUUUAGAACCCUAUUUUGACUAUUCAUCAGUUAUUUACUGAUAUUUUUACUUAAUUUGACUAUUCCUUUAGCUUUUGCAAUUGGCAAUUUUCAUUUUGGUUUAAACAAUUUUCUCCAAAACCCACAUUUCUCAAAUACCCAUUUAUCAUUAUCCACUUCCAUUUCCCUUUCAUUUUUUUUUUUUUUUUGGGUUUCCUCUGUACCUGUUUUACCUUAUUUCAACCCCAACUACAAAAACUCUUGGGUACUGUUUACGUUAGUAGCAGAUUUUAACAUUCAUAAUAUUAAGUACCUAAUAAAAUACUUCACAACAAGAAGUUUUCAUUUUCUAUAAGUACCGAUCUCGUUAUUAUCUUUUGUUUAAAACAUAAUAAAUUUAAAUAUUUGACAUGUUCAUUUUCAUAUAAAUUAUUUAUAUGCAUUUGAUCUGAUAAUGUAACAAGUACUAAAUGGAUAAGAGUUGGAUGUAAAAUUCAAGGUUAAGUCAAGAGUAUAGAGAUGGAGUGAAAAAUUUUCUUAAAUUUGCAUUUGAGAAUACAAGUGAAAAUGAUAUGAUAUUAUGCCCAUGUGUGAAGUGUGAUAAUAUAGAUUGGCAAAUGCGUCAAGUUGUUUUUGAAUAUUUAAUUUGUAUUGAAUUUCUCUCAGGAUAUAUUAAUUGGUAUUUUCAUGGAGAGUCUAUACCAUCAAGGUUUUCUACUAUAGUUCCUUUAAUUUCAAGGGCUCUCCAACAUAACAUGAUCCUUUUAUAGCAGAUGACAUUAAAGGUAUGUUACGAGAUGCUUUUAACAUUAAUAACCAAUAUUUUCGUAAUCUUUUUCCCUAAAAUGAUGGAUUUAAUCCAAUAUUGAAAUAAAUGAAUUUGGUGAACUUGGGAUAGGUGUAGGUGACCAACAACCUAGAGGAGAAGCAUCAAAGUUUUAUAGGUUGCUUAAGGAUAUGAAUGAAGAACUUUAUGAGGGCUCGAAGCAUUCAAGGUUAUCUUUUUAUGUUCAUCUUUUCACUUGAAAUGCUUAUAUGGAUGGACAGAAAACUCUCUAACUUUAUUAUUAAAGUUUAUGAAAAAAAUGUUUUCUUUUGCAAAAAUCUCUAAAUCUUGUAAGGAAUCAAAAAAGAUGAUCAAUGAUUUAGGUCUCGGAUAUGAAAAAAUUCAUAGUUGUCUCAAUGAUUGCAUGUUGUAGUGGGGUGAUAGAAAAAAUCAAGAAUCUUGUCAUGUGUGUGGUAUUUCUUAUUGGGUGGACAAAAACCCCGAUGAAAGGUUGAAUGAGGAUGGUGAUGAGGUCAGUGUCAAAAAGAAGCUUAUUAAAAUUUUACGCUAUUUUUCAUUAAUACCAAGAUUUCAAUGACUCUUUAUGUCUUCUAAAAUUGUAGAUUCAAUGAGGGGCAUCAUGAAAAAUAGACAGAUGAUGGAUAAUUGAGGCAUCUUGUAAAAUUUUUGGCAUGAAAAUCAUUUUAUUCUAGGUUUUCAGACUUUGUAUCUGAUCCUCAAAAUGUUAUACUUGGACUAGCAUCUAAUGGACUCAACUCGUUUAAAAAUGAUAAAUAUUUUUUAUAGUACUUGGCUAGUUUUAUUGAUUCCUUACACUUUAUCACCAUGAAUUGCUAUGAAGCAAUAGUUAUUUAUAUUAUCUAUGAUAAUUCUUGAGAAAAAAGAUCCGAGUAAUAAUAUAAACAUCUACUUACAACCUCAUAUUAAAGAGUUAAAAUAGUUAUGAGAAGGAAUUGAGACCUAUAAUGCAUCAAAAAAAGAGAACUUUAAUAUGUGUGCUAUUUUAUUAUGGACUAUCAACGAUUUUUCUACUUAUGUAAAUUUAUCUGGUUGGAGUAUAAAAGGUCAUUAUGGUUGUCCAUGUUAUGCUGCACAGACAUAUUCGAAGUGGUUAUCUAAUGAAAAAAAGUUUUGUUACAUGGGACAUUGUCGAUAAUUAGAUAAUAAUCAUCGAUUUAGAUUUUAAAAUUAUCGUUUUGAUGGAACUGAAGAGUUGAAAAGAUCACUUUUACCCAUUAGUGGGUCUAAUAUCUUGUCAAAGUUAAAAGAUAUCAAUUUCACUUAUGAAAAAAUGACUCCAUCAAAUAAAAGAGUGAGGGACAUCUUUGAAGGUGUCUAGCCUCAUAUUACGCAAAUUGGUGAUAUUGAUAUUGAUGUUGUUGAUCUUAAUGUUCAAAGUGAUGAAGAGGAUGAUGAAGAAUAUGACCCUAAUGAGUAUGAGUUUUGAAAAAAAGAAGUAUAUUUUUUUAGUUGUCUUAUUGAAAAAAUAAUUUAUUAUGCCAUAACCUUGAUUUGAUGCACAUAGAGAAGAGUGUUUGCAAAAAUUUUAUCAGAACAAUUCUCAAUGUGAAUAGAAGAUCAAAGGAUAACUUAAAGAGUCCGCUUGACCUAGUUGAUAUAGAGAUUCACCUUGACCUUCAUCCGAAGUCGCUUCUUAAUAGCAAAUAUUGAUUACCUGCUGCUUGUUUUGGGAUUUCUAAAUCUGAAAAAAGAUGUGUUUUGUAAGGUUUUAAAAAAUGUCAAAGUUUCGGAUGGCUAUGUGUCAAAUAUAUCGAGAUGUGUGAAUCUGAAAGAGCAAAAACUUUCUUCAUUGAAGUUACAUGAUUAUCACAUUUUGAUGCAAAACUUACUUCCAAUUGUUUUACGUUCAUCAAUGUCAAAAGCACGUCACUUCUGUGGUAAUUGAAUUAAGUAAUAUAUUUAAAUCUCUAUAUGAGAAAUGUAUGAAUGUGGAAAAGCUUGACAAACUUCAAGAUCAAGUUGUGAUUACUUUAUACCAUUUAGAGAAGAUUUUCUCUGAAAACUUUUUUACUAUUAUGAUACAUUUGGUUAUCCACCUUCCAUAUAAAGCAAAAGUCGAUGGGUCGAUUUAUUAUCAAUGGAUGUAUCUUAUCGAAAGGUAUUAUUGUUUAAUGGAUUGAUUAAGUUUUUAUUGAUGAUCAUGCUACUCUAGUUAAAAAGAUAUAUGACUCAUAUUUGAUGCGAUAGGUUUUUGGGGAGGUUAAAGUCUUAUUGUUGUAACAAACGCUAUCCGAAAGGUUCUAUUGCUGAAAGAUAUUUAACAAAAAAAUGUAUGAUAUUUUGUUCUCAUUAUUUGAAAGAUAUUGAAAUGAGAUUUAAUAGACCAUCGAGAAAUGUCGGUAUACAGCAACAUGACUCUGCCUACAAGUAUCUUUUUCAAAGUUUUGGACAACUAAUAGGUAAAGCUGAAAUGGUGGAGUUAGAUGAUAAAUCUUGAGCACAAGUACAUCGAUAUGUUCUUUUUCAUCAUGACAUUAUUGAAUUGUGUCGCAUGUAAGUUUUUUAACAAAGAAAUUAUUCAUUACAUUAAGCAUAAUUUAUUGUAUUUUUUUAUUGUUAAUACUUUAUCAUGAUGCUUUAUAGUGAUUAUAAAAAUAAUUUGAGAGCUCUUACACAUUAUCGACGAUCAAACCCUUGAGAGCUUGAUAAGUUAUUCGUCGAAAACUUUCAUGAAUGGUUAGGAGCAACUAUAAGUAAUACCAUACUUCCAUUUAUGACAAAUCUACAUAGAAUGCUUUGGUAUAAUUAACAUUAAUAACAUAUAUAUAUUUAUUCCACUUUUAUAGGUUUGGAGUGAAAGGCUUGUUAGUGAAAAGGUGAAGUGCCUUUCACAAGGUCUGAAUAGGAUUGUGAAACGAUACAAAGGUUUCAUCAUCAAUGGAUUUAGAUUUCACACUAAAUCCCAUGAGAGAUUUAGCAGUACAUAAAAUUCAAGAGUUGUUACUUAAUCAACUACUAGCUAUGCUAGUACUAGGGACACAAACUCUUUAGAGGAAAAUGUUGACUAUUAUGGCAUGAUUAAUGACAUCAUUGAGUUGGAUUAUUAUGGCAUGUGGAAAGUUAUCUUAUUUCAGUGUGAUUGGAUUGAUGUAAAUGGUGUGAGAGGUAUUAAGACUAUUAUGUUAUGAAUAGGCCAAAAUAUAAAUAUAUGAUAUUUGUAUUUCUACAAUAUACCUAAUUAUUUUUUAUGACAGAAAGAGAACAUAUUGGGAUUGGUAGCAGAAAGCAACAAAAAUAUAGCCACACAAGUGGAUCAAAAAGUUUUGCAAAAAUGAACUUUUUGUGCCGUUGAAAGGUAAAUAUACAAAUUAAUAUUUGUUAUACUAUUUUAAUAGUUUUGAUAGUUUCAAUACAUGACAUUAAAUUUAUCGAAAUGUUUGAACUUAGCUGAAACGGAUGAUAUGUAUGAAAAAGUUAUUGUUUACAUCUAUUUUGGUAAAAUUACAAAUUUUUUGUUAUUGUUCAAUUUAAAUAGUUUGGAUAGCUUCAAUACUUUAUAUUAAACUUGUCCAAUUUAUUGAACUUGGUUUCUAUAGUUGACAUGGGUGAAAAAGUUAUCGUUUAUGUCUAUUUGGGACUAUUUUUGCCUUUAAAAGGCAAAAUUACAAAUUAAAACUUUUGGAUGGCUUUCAACAGUUUGAAUGGCUUCGAUCCAUGAUAUUAAAUUUGUUCAAAUAAUUGAAUUUGGCUGCCAUGAUCAAAAUGUGUGAAAUGCCAAAAUGCUUUUAUGUACGUUUAUGUCUAUUUAAGACAAUUGUGUUAUGAAGGGGCCAAAAUAUAAAUACAUGAUAUUAAGAUUAUUCAAAAUUUUUGAACUUGAUUGACAAGUAUGAUAUGCAUGAACAAGUUGUGGUUGAUAUGUAUCAUAUCAAAUAGCAUAUAUUUUUAUAUAAGAGAUUGAGAUGGGCGAUAAAAUUGGACGUGUGAAAUUUUUUCGCCUAACACACAUAAAAAAAGAUGGAUCUUACAUGGAUCUUAAAACAUAAGAAAUUAUGGUAAUUUGUAACAUCUACUUUAAUAAAAGUAAAUAUUUACUCUUUUUAACAUAUUAUCAAUUAAUCAUUAAACUUGAUAAUUGUAUAUGACUAAUUUACAGGAGCAAACGAAAAAGAAAAUAGCUGUUGAGAUUGCAGUAGCAUAUGAUGACUCUCUCAACAUGUAAAAAUUGAAAAAUCGGAUAUUCAUAAAAGUUGCUAGAAAAAAAAGGCAUGGACGGGUCGAGGCCUUGGAUUGGGUCCAACACCAUCUACUUACUACGGACGUAGCUCUGAGCAAUUUAUAUUCUCAACAAGUUAGUCUUCACGAGAUAUUUCGAUAUUGAGAGAAGAGUUGCAAACUAUAUAACAACGUUUCCAGCAAUUGGAAACAGAAAGAGAACAGGAGCGUACCAAAAUUGAGGAAGAACAUGCUAGAAUGGAGCAACAGCGUGCAAAAUUUUUGCAGUUGCAUUAUCGAUUCAAUUAUCUUAUGGAUUUAGUGCAACAACAAUUUCUAGGAACUAAUCUCAGUGGUCUUCCAACUUAGGUAUUAUAUUUAGUAAAUAUUUAUAUUUUUUAAUAUCAAAAUAGCUUAUAAUGAAGUGUUAAAAAUUGUAUGCUAUUAUUCAGUAGGUUUUUGAGCACGCUAGUGACCAAGGUAAAAAAAUUAUUUCAUCAGUUAACAGCCUUCAAAAUUUAUGCAGUCAUCAAUUUCAUACAUUUUAAUUUUAAUUUUAUUAAUGUAUUAAAAAAAUUUGAAUAUUAUUAUACUAAUUAUUAAAUUUUGUGUUAAUUAGAUGCAUAUUUGAACGUGAAUUAAGUUUAUAUUAAUUUCAAUAUCUGAAUUUAAGCUCAUUUAUAAAAAAUAAUAAAUUAACAAAAAUUUUUUGUUUAAAAAAAUAUAUUUUUUAAUUUCGUGAUGUUUGUGUUCAAGAAUAUUGCUAAAUGAAUAAUUUAGUGGCAUUUGUUCUAUAAAAUGCCACUAAAAGUAGCAGUGCUAUUGCUAGAAACUGUGCUAAAUUAUCGGUAUUUUUUUGAAACAAAUGCCACCAAAGUAACGAUAUUUUUUUUGAUAAAAAUAUCACUAAAUUAACGGCGUAUCAAAAAUACAAAUGUCGCUAAUAUAGCAACGUUUUUCAUAUACAAAUGUCGCUAAUAUAAUGAUAUUUUUUAGAUACAAAUGUCAUUAAAAUAGUGAUAUUUUUUAGAUAUAAACGUGCUAAUGUAGUGGUGUUUUAUAAAAAAAUGUUGCUAUUUUUCGUGAGGCGUUUAUAGCCGACAUUUUGACUGGUGUUUUUCGCAAACAUCAUAAAUCUUUUAAUAACGUUUAUAAAUGUUACUAAAUAUAAAAAAAAAAUGUCACUAAAAAUCAAAACCCUUGUAAUGCCUAAAUGAAGUGGUCAUCAGCACAACCUUAUCUCUUUAGGAACUUGUCAAAGUUGAGGACUAUAUAAUUCUAAACCUAAAUGACUAAAAAAAAGUCAUGCCCCACGCAUCAAUUUAUUUUACCCAAAAGGCUAAUAUGUUUUUCUCAUCAAACAAACUAUUAUUUUCAUAGUAUUUCUCGAAUUCGCUCCGUGUUUUUAAUACAGCUAUAUUCAUAAUUUCAGCAUCGCAGAAUAACCAUCAAAGAUCAAUCUACAAUUUGAAAAAAUAUAUAUUUUUAAAAUAGUAGAAGAUUAUUUGAUUAAGAAUGAUAAUUUAAUUAAUAAUUUAAGAAAUUAAAUAAAAAAUAGAAUUAAGUUUUGAUAAAGAGCAAUUGAUUAUCUAUAUAAUAAAAUAGACUGCUCAUGAUCUCUGAGAAAACAAAAAAGUAUAUGUUAAGAAAAUGAAUUUAGACAGUAUAUCUAGUUAGAGCAGCUUAUUGAUCUACUUGAAAAGAUUUUUUAUUAUAAAAUAACACUAAAGCAGUCAAAUGCUCAUGUAUAGCAUUCGAUUGUUUUUAUUUGAAAAAGCAUAUUUUAUGAAGAGAAAAUGUUUUUUUAAUGACAUUUAUUCAUCUAAAAAGCAAUCUUUUACUAUAAAAGAUAAAUAAUGAUAUCUAUAAUUAUUAAAAAAAUGUUUAUUUAAUUAAAGAAAGUUACGGUUGAUUGAAACAACUUAAUUAAAGGGUCCAAAACACUUAAAAUUAUAUAAUUUAAUUCUUUAAAACAUAACAUCAGAGUCUAAAUAUGAUAUUUCUAUUGUCUUAGUUAUGUGAUUUUGGUCCAUUCGUUCUAAUUUUAAUAAAUUUAAUCCAUGUAUUUUAAAGAUAAAGAAUAUCAAUGUUAAAAAUUUUCUAUUAAAUUGAUUAUAUGAAAUUUUUGUUGAUAAAGUAGCAUGUUAAUCUGUUUAUAAAAAAAAAAAAAAGUAGCAGGCUAAUCUGAUUUCUUUUUUUUAUCAGCAUAUGACAUACAUUAGUAAGGAAGAACUUUAUUUUUAAUAAAAAAAUAUAAAAACAUUUUUUAAAAUUUUUUAAAAAAUAAUACACUGCACUGAACCCUAUUUUUAGCUAGGUAUUCAUGGACAAUUGCCAUAUGAACUGCCUAACAAUGAAUGAAUCUAAUUCUUGGCUUGACUUGGGAUCAAGCCAAAUCCUAUUAACAUCAUCGCCAUCUCACAAUGUUUCCAACAAAAUUCUAUCACGCAAUUACACUUGUAAAUCGUCAACAACAAUGCCAUGGCCGCCCUACCUCUAUAAAAAUCUGCGCACUUUCACUCCGAAACAUCGCAAACCCAGCAACAAAAUAUCAGUAGAGCAUAGCCAACUUGUUCACCAAAAUGAUGAGUUCCUCAAAACCUUACCAUCCCUUGAAAUCUUCGUGAAUCUGGAGUCUUUGCAAAACUUAAAAUUUUCAUGAAUCUGAAUCUUUGAAAAUUUUGCAUCAUUUAUAAACUUUUAAAAUUUUUACGAAACUUGAAAUUUUUGUAAAUCUUUACAAAUCUUGACUUUUGACAAAUUUUGAAAUCAUUACGAAUAUUUUGCGAAUCUUGGAGUAUUUGAAAUUUUUUAUUUUUGUUAUAAAAUCUUGUGAAUAUUUAUUGUUUGUGGACUUUUGAAUUUUUAAAUUAUGAAUAUUUGAAUUUCAAAUUAACUAAAAUUUUUCUGAACCUAAGUGAAUGAAUGUCUUUUAACAUUAUCUAUUUUAAAGUUGUUUAGCGUCUAAGGAGCCAAUUUCCUAUUUUAAAAUUGUUUAACUUUAGUAUAGAAGAGUCCAUUUCUUAAUUUAAAUUUGUUUAUCUUUGUAUAGAAGAGUUUAGUUUAUUAAAUAUCUAUUUAGAGGAGUUAUUAGAACUUUUAAGUUUUAUGCCUAUGUUUAGAUAAAGUCUUUAAAAUUUUUCAAAAAUCGCAUCCUCUUAAAAUUACUUGAGUUGAACCAGAUUCAAUGGUUAUUUAUAUCUUUACAUCAAUUCUAUUUCAAAGGAAUAUGUAAAGAAGGGGUAACUGUAAACAUCCUAUUUUGUCCAGGGCCUACAUCCAAAUUCUCGAUUUCGAUUUUGUUGAAAUUAUCGAGAUUUGAGGCCAAUAUAUAUUACUUUGAUGUGGGCUUUGCCCUAACAAAUAUUUUAUUUUUAUUUUUAUUUGUUUGUUUAUUCUUUAAUAAAAACUAAAUAAAUAAAUAAAUAAAAAAGAAAAUCAAACCGAAUUUUCUAGAAGUCCUAUACAAGAAUCAAGAAAGAAUUUUUGAGAUUUUUUCUUAACCUAUAUGAAAUAAAAAAUCAAACAAAAAAAGAUCACAGAGUAUCAAAGCUAUGGUUUUUAUUAAAUUGAUUUUAACUAAAGUAAAGGGAUUUAAAAAAUAUUUGAAAAUCCUUGACAAUCAAUGGAAUCCUAAAAUUUUUUACUAGAAAAUUCUUAUAAAUUGUUCUAAGGCAGACAAAGAACACAAAAGGAGAAAAAAUUUAUACAAAAACUUUUAAGAAAAAAAAAGAUACAAUUUCGGGUAGUAAGUUUUUUUUUUUUUUUUUGAAUUCUUUGAAAAAUCUGAAAUUAUGAGGAUAUAUUCUAGUAAGCCACGCAACCUAGCUACUUAGCCAAGCCAACUUCAGGUUUUUUUUAUUUUAUUUUUAUUUAUUUAACUAUUUUAUUUAUUUAUUUAUUUGAUUAUAUAUUAUUCUUUAAAUAUGUUUUAUAAAAACAUAUUUAAAUAAAAACAUUACUAAUAGAUUGGAAGGUAAUCAUUUUUUUUAAAUAAGAUUUUACUAACAUAUCGAAAAACCUUAUAACUUUUUUUAUUUAAAAAAAAAAUAAAAAUAAAAAGCUUUACUAACAGAUUGGAGAGUUAAUAUUUUAUUUUCAAAAUAAAGUUUUACCAACAUAUUGGAAAGCCUUAUAAUUUCUUUAAAAAAAUCAAGUUUAAAAAAUAAUAAAAUAAUAUUUCUUGUCUUUUUAUAUAUCCUAUCAACAGAUUGGAGGAUAAUUUUUAACAAAAAAUCUUAUCAACAGAUUAAGGGAUAUUUCUAAUUAUAAACCUGAUUUAUAAGUAUUUAUUUCUAAAAGCAAAAUUAAAUGAAUUUGACGACGUAACCUUUUCAAAACUCGAUAAAUAUUCUUCUUGAAUACCACUGAGGUGAGAAAAUAUUCUUAAAUUAUUACCAAUAUAUUGGAGUAAUUUAAGAAAAAUUUUUAAUAUUAAGUUAUUUGAUAAAUUUUAAAUAUAUUUUAAGGUUUAGAUAAUUUGAAAUCAAAUUGGUAUGAUCUUUUGGAUGGGUGUUGUAAAUGUACUAUAACUUUUCUCAUACAUAAACAUACUAUCGGACUUAAAUUUUGAUUUCGUAUAUUAUAAUUUACUAUUUAAAAAUACUUAAAUUAAUUUUAAAACUUCUCUUUAAGUGUGACAGAUUUUGUCAAGUGACUAAUCACACCUUAAUAAAAAAAUUGAUGAUAACUCAUUUAUAAGUCCACGAAUUUAUAUGUUAAACAGUAUAAAAUAAUUCUUAAUUUGGCGAUAAAAAUAGUUUAAUCCAUUCAAUUGUCACACAUUUAUAAGCUCUUUUAGAAAUUGAAAGUCAUGAUAUUCAUAGACCGAAAGUUUUUUUUUUUAUAUAUGUCAAUGGUACUAUUUAUUUAAAUUAAUUAUUCGAAUAGACCAAUUUGAUUAUUCUUAAUAAUUUAUUUAUAAAUGUAAACAAAUUUUAAAAUUUUAUAUUUUUUAAUAAAAAAAUCACAAUUUGAGAAUACGAGAAUG
rnacentral:lncRNA from 1 species